ensembl:snRNA U2 U2 spliceosomal RNA
AUCGCUUCUCGGCCUUUUGGCUAAGAUCAAGUGUAGAAGUAGUGUGACCUAAAUUCAGAAGGUUUAUUUAAUACUAUAGUAGAUAGGUGUGACUUCUCUUUACUAUAGAAUGCCUGUGUAGACUAAUAAGGCACCUUGCU